AUAACCCUUCCUAAAAAAUGUGGUUAAUUUCAUUUCACGUUGGCUCUCACUUUCGUUCCGCUCUUCUUCGUCUCUAAACUCUUAGGUUUUAGAACACUGCCUCCUCUCUUCUUUGUCCCAGAACGCUAGCUCUUCGUCUCUUCUUCUCAUCAUCACUCACACAUAGCACACAGUUCUGGCGACAUUCCAGUCAACGCCUAGGGUUCGAACUGCAACGCACUUACCCUGCUCGGAUUCGCCUCCGCUGUUCUCCACUUGCUGCUAGAUUUUGGCCUUUGCUGCUAGGUUUCGUCUCUUCUUCCCAUCAUCAGUCACACAUAGCACACAGUUUCGGCGACAUUCCGUCAACACCUAUGGUUUGAACUGCAGCACACUUGCCCUGCUCGGAUUUGCCUCCACUCUUCUCCACCCUUCGCUGCUAGAUUUCGCCCUUUGCCACUGCUCGGCUCUUGCAUUGAAGCUGGUCCUGAACCUAACCUACUUUUGGUUUCUAUGGUUCAUCUAGUGGCAUUUCUGAACUUUUGAAGUUAUCAACAAAUUGUCGGACACUGUCAACGAAGCUUACAAAAUAUGGAAAGUUGAUAAGCUUGAUUUUCUUGCUUGUGUUGGAGCCUUCUUCGGUGUGAUCUUUGCGUCAGUGGAACUUGGUCUGCUAGUGGCCGAAAAUAGGUAGAUAUUACAACAAAUUCUCUUCAUCUAGGAGCAAUUAUAACCAAUAUAUAUAAGCCAGAGAUUACUGUCGUCGUGCCAAGAGGAUAGUCUUCUUAGGCAUAAGCUGGAAAUGGAAAUCACAUUGGAGUCUUCUGCUAGUCCGCAACAUAAAAAGGUAUCAGCCAGAUGGGAUCCGGUUGAAGCAUGCCGGCCUAUAAUUGAUGAAGCACAUUUUGUUCUAUCCAACUAUUGAGGAGUUUGAAGACACACUUGGUUACUUAGCCAAGAUUCGCCCCCAAGCUGAACCUUAUGGCAUAUGUAGGAUUGUCCCUCCAGCAUGCUGGGUACCACCAUGCCCUCUUAAGGAGAAAGAUUUAUGGGAAAAUGCAAAGUUUCCCACUCGUAUCCAGGAAAUUGAUUUGCUUCAGAACAGGGAGCCCAUGAGAAAGAAAAUUAGGGGAAGGAAGCGAAAACGUAGAAAGCAAUCAAAGAUGGGAGCAGGUAGGAGAACUGCCAAAUCAGGCUCUAAAGCUAAUGUUGCUUCUGAGUGACUAACAUUGUUUCAAUAUUUUAAGAUGUCUACAAUGAGCUCGGUGCAUAGGUAAGCUUAAAUGUUUAAAGGUGGCUGGUUGCUAUUGUAUGAUAAUAUUAGAGACAUACUGGUAGAGUGUAUGCUGCUCUAUGCUUGCUGGUUUGUCAUAUCAACAGUGAGUGUAAUGAGAAUUGGUAUAAGUUGGUGAUGUAUUAAUGUGUAUGUGUUCUGUGAUACAAUGCAGGAAAAAUAGGGGCACAUGGGUAGCUUAUUUUCUUAGGAUAGAAAUGUCAAUGUUGAGGGGCAAAGUGCUACAUGCAAUUUUCUGAUAGGUGUAUAUUCUGAAUUUAUUCGGAAUGUUUAAGAUGUAUGGAAAGUUAACUUUUUGGGUGAUUGAUUAUGUUUAUGAUAUUGGAUUGGUUGCAUACUAUCA